rnacentral:rRNA from 1 species
CCUACGGGUGGCUGCAGUGGGGAAUAUUGGACAAUGGGCGAAAGCCUGAUCCAGCCAUGCCGCGUGUGUGAAGAAGGCCUUCGGGUUGUAAAGCACUUUCAGUGGGGAAGAAAGCCUUGGGGCUAAUACCCUCGAGGAAGGACAUCACCCACAGAAGAAGCACCGGCUAACUCCGUGCCAGCAGCCGCGGUAUUACGGAGGGUGCGAGCGUUAAUCGGAAUUACUGGGCGUAAAGCGCGCGUAGGCGGUCUGAUAAGCCGGUUGUGAAAGCCCCGGGCUCAACCUGGGAACGGCAUCCGGAACUGUCAGGCUAGAGUGCAGGAGAGGAAGGUAGAAUUCCCGGUGUAGCGGUGAAAUGCGUAGAGAUCGGGAGGAAUACCAGUGGCGAAGGCGGCCUUCUGGACUGACACUGACGCUGAGGUGCGAAAGCGUGGGUAGCAAACAGGAUUAGAUACCCCUGUAGUC